rnacentral:rRNA from 1 species
GAUGAACGCUGGCGGCGUGCCCAAUACAUGCAAGUCGAGCGAACAGACGAGGAGCUUGCUCCUUUGACGUUAGCGGCGGACGGGUGAGUAACACGUGGGUAACCUACCUAUAAGACUGGGAUAACUUCGGGAAACCGGAGCUAAUACCGGAUAAUAUUUCGAACCUCAUGGUUCGAUAGUGAAAGAUGGCUCUGCUAUCACUUAUAGAUGGACCUGCGCCGUAUUAGCUAGUUGGUAAGGUAACGGCUUACCAAGGCAACGAUACGUAGCCGACCUGAGAGGGUGAUCGGCCACACUGGAACUGAGACACGGUCCAGACUCCUACGGGAGGCAGCAGUAGGGAAUCUUCCGCAAAGGGCGAAAGCCUGACGGAGCAACGCCGCGUGAGUGAUGAAGGUCUUCGGAUCGUAAAACUCUGUUAUUAGGGAAGAACAAACGUGUAAGUAACUGUGCACGUCUUGACGGUACCUAAUCAGAAAGCCACGGCUAACUACGUG